rnacentral:lncRNA from 11 species
ACUGUUAGGUUGGCAGAAGCUGUGGCUAACAGCGGGAGCUCACCCUGCUCCCAGGAUUCGAACCAUCGAUCUUUUGGUCAGCAAGUUCAGCAGCUCAGCGGUUUAACCCACUGCACCACCGGGGGCUCAUAUAGGAUCGCCAGAAGUCAACUUGAUUGUGAUUUACCGUGGCCCGAUUAGUGGACUACCUUGGCAAGACUUAUUUCAAGAAGUUUUGCCAUUAGUCUCAUCUGAGGCUGAGAAUUUCAUCACAGAGUUCCCUGGAAAACAAUUUGACAUUAUUAAGCAAAGCCUUUUUUCUUCACAGUAGACUUUUGCC